rnacentral:rRNA from 1 species
CGCCUGUUUAACAAAAACAUCUUUUCUUGUUAGUUUUUGAAGUAUGGCCUGCCCACUGACUUUGGUUGAAGGGCUGCGGUAUUUUGACCGUGCAAAGGUAGCAUAAUCAUUAGUUCUUUAAUUGUGAUCUGGUAUGAAUGGCUUGACGAGACAUGAGCUGUCUUAGGGGUAUGUUUUGUUGAAUUUAGUUUUUGAGUUAAAAUUCUUAAAUGUUUUUAUGGGACAAGAAGACCCUAUAGAGUUUGACAUAUUGCUUUAGCUUUAUUUUAAUGUUGUUUGUUUUGAUUUAUUUGAGUUAGGUUAUGUGUUUUGUUGGGGUGAUGGGAGGAAUGAUUUUAACUCCUCUUUGUUUUUAUUUAUUUAUUUAUAUUUGUUUGAUCCAUUUAUUUUGUUUAUAAGAUUAAAUUACAUUAGGGAUAACAGCGUUAUCUUCCUUGAGAGUUCUUAUUGGCGAGGAGGAUUGCGACCUCGAUGUUGGAUUAAGGUGAAUUUUCGGUGUAGGAGCUGAAGUUGAUUGGGUCUGUUCGACCUUUAAAAUCUUACGUGAUCUGAGUUCAGACCGG